rnacentral:rRNA from 1 species
UACGUAGGGGGCAAGCGUUGUCCGGAUUUAUUGGGCGUAAAGAGCGUGUAGGCGGCCACACAGGUCUGCUGUGAAAACUCGAGGCUCAACCUCGAGACGUCGGUUGAAACCGUAUGGCUAGAGUCCGGAAGAGGAGAGUGGAAUUCCCGGUGUAGCGGUGAAAUGCGCAGAUAUCGGGAAGAACACCUAUGGCGAAGGCAGCUCUCUGGGACGGUACUGACGCUGAGACGCGAAAGCGUGGGGAGCAAACAGG